rnacentral:rRNA from 1 species
AUUGAACGCUGGCGGCAGGCUUAACACAUGCAAGUCGAGCGAGCGGCGGACGGGCGAGUAAUGUCUGGGCCACUGCCCGAUGGAGGGGGAUAACUACUGGAAACGGUAGCUAAUACCGCAUACCAUCAGAUGUGCCCAGGUGGGAUUAGCUAGUGGGUGGGGUAAUGGCUCCCCUAGGCGACGAUCCCUAGCUGGUCUGAGAGGAUGACCGGCCACACUGGAACUGAGACACGGUCCAGACUCCUACGGGAGGCAGCAGUGGGGAAUAGUGGACAAUGGGCGCAAGCCUGAUGCAGCCAUGCCGCGUGUGGGAAGAAGGCCUUCGGGUUGUAAAGCACUUUCAGCGGGGAGGCGUUACUCGCAGAAGAAGCACCGGCUAACUCCGUGCCAGCAGCCGCGGUAAUAC